rnacentral:piRNA from 1 species
UAGGAAGUUUGUGCCAAUUCUCAUUUCAUU